rnacentral:rRNA from 1 species
GAUGAACGCUGGCGGCGUGCCUAAUACAUGCAAGUCGAGCGAACAGACGAGGAGCUUGCUCCUUCGACGUUAGCGGCGGACGAGUGAGUAACACGUAGGUAACCUACCUAUAAGACUGGGAUAACUUCGGGAAACCGGAGCUAAUACCGGCUAAUAUUUCGAACCGCAUGGUUCGAUAGUGAAAGAUGGCUUUGCUAUCACUUAUAGAUGGACCUGCGCCGUAUUAGCUAGUUGGUAAGGUAACGGCUUACCAAGGCAACGAUACGUAGCCGACCUGAGAGGAUGAUCGGCCACACUGGAACUGAGACACGGUCCAGACUCCUACGGGAGGCAGCAGUAGGGAAUCUUCCGCAAUGGGCGAAAGCCUGACGGAGCAACGCCGCGUGAGUGAUGAAGGUCUUCGGAUCGUAAAACUCUGUUAUUAGGGAAGAACAAACGUGUAAGUAACUGUGCACGUCUUGACGGUACCUAAUCAGAAAGCCACGGCUAACUACGUG